AGCUGAAGAGCUGAUGAUGUUCCCCUAAAGCUGAAGCUCUUAAGCU
rnacentral:snoRNA from 10 species